rnacentral:misc_RNA from 1 species
UUAAAUUUUAUUUGUAUAUAACUCAGACAAUAAUAAUUCAGAGUUAAAGUUUCCUCUGGCGGGUAAAACACAUCAGCCAAAGCCGAUGGAAAGCUAAGCUUUACGACCCACCAAAGCAACAAUGUUAGGUAAGCAUAGGGUUGGAGGUCUACCCCUAAGGGCAUAACUCUGUAAUGAUCCUUCCGCAGGUUCACCUACGGAAA